GACGAACGCUGGCGGCGUGCUUAACACAUGCAAGUCGAGCGGAGCGGCGAACGGGUGAGUAACGCGUGAGUAACUGCCCCCCUCUCUGGGAUAACAGUUGGAAACGGCUGCUAAUACCGGAUAGUGGGGGAUGACUCGCGUCCUAUCAGCUUGUUGGUGGGGUAGUGGCCUACCAAGGGGACGACGGGUAGCCGGCCUGAGAGGGGAACCGGCCACAUUGGGCUGAGAUACGGCCCAAACUCCUACGGGAGGCAGCAGUGGGGAAUAUGUCACAAUGGGGGAAACCCUGAUGCAGCAACGCCGGGUGCGGGAUGACGGCCUUCGGGUUGUUAACUGCUUUCAGCGAUGACCCGGUAGUGGCUGAUGAAGAACCGGCUAACUACGUGCCAGCAGCCGCGGUAAUAC
rnacentral:rRNA from 1 species